CUCAUCUCUUAAAAUGCAAUCUUUAAUUUGCUUCACAUUUUUUUCUCCAAACAUAUGUUAUUUCAACUGUGUCCACACACUUUUAAAGCAGACGUUGUCUACAAGGGUUAGACUUGGAAGACCUGGUUGUGUAUUCUGUCUCUUCUUAGUAGGAUUCGCAUCAGCUGGCUUCCGCUAUCCCCACCUGCAAAGAGUAAGGACAUGUUGAUGACAAUGACGGCGAGACAAGGACAUCCACCUUGCAAGCUCCUUAGGAAGGAGAAUUUUCCCGUUCAGCCUUCAGGACGCUGCCAGCAACCUGGGAUGAUGAAUUAGAUGAGGGAUGGAGAGAAAAGCUCCACCUAGGACUACAGAACAAGAGUGGUAUCUUCAGGACGAAUCUGUCAUUGGUAUUUGCGCCCAUAAGAUCGACCAUCAAGAGAUCCUUGAAUCGGGUUGCUGUGCUUGCAUGUCUAGGUAAGUG